GAUGAACGCUGACAGAAUGCUUAACACAUGCAAGUCUUUGGCGAAGCUGUGCUUGCACAGCCUAGCCAAGGCGGACGGGUGAGUAACGCGUAAGGAACUUGCCCUGCAGUCAGGGAUAACAGACGGAAACGACUGAUAAGACCUGGUAAAGUCAGGCGGACUCAUGUCCAGCCUGAUGAAAAGAGAUGCUGCAGGAGAGCCUUGCGUCCUAUUAGCUUGUUGGUGGGGUAACGGCCCACCAAGGCGAUGAUAGGUAGCCGGCCUGAGAGGGUGGACGGCCACAAGGGGACUGAGAUACGGCCCUUACUCCUACGGGAGGCAGCAGUGGGGAAUAUUGGACAAUGGGGGCAACCCUGAUCCAGCAAUUCUGUGUGCACGAUGAAGGUUUUCGGAUUGUAAAGUGCUUUCAGCAGGGAAGAAAAAAAUGACGGUACCGGCAGAAGAAACGACGGCUAAAUACGU
rnacentral:rRNA from 1 species